GGGAAGGUGGCUCAGUGGUAGAGUGCUUGCCUUGAAUGCAUAAGGCCCUAGGUUUGAUUCCUCAGCCACCACA
rfam:Dipodomys ordii contig_17687, whole genome shotgun sequence.